CCUACGGGAGGCUGCAGUGAGGAAUAUUGGUCAAUGGGCGCGAGCCUGAACCAGCCAAGUCGCGUGCGGGAAGACGGCCCUAUGGAUUGUAAACCUCUUUUGUCCGGGAGCAAAAGACGCCACGCGUAGCGUUUCGCGUGUACCCGAAGAAAAAGCAUCGGCUAACUCCGUGCCAGCAGCCGCGGUAAUACGGAGGGUUCGGGCGUUAUCCGGAUUUAUUGGGUUUAAAGGGGGCGCAGGCGGAAGAUCAAGGCGGCGGUAAAAUUGAGGGGCUCAACCUCUGCGAGCCGUUGAAACUGGUUUUCUUGAGUGAGCGAGAAGCAGGCGGAAUGCGUGGUGUAGCGGUGAAAUGCAUAGAUAUCACGCAGAACUCCGAUUGCGAAGGCAGCAUACCGGCGCUCAACUGACGCUGAUGCACGAAAGUGUGGGUAUCGAACAGGAUUAGAUACCCGAGUAGUC
rnacentral:rRNA from 1 species